CAUGUGGUUCAAUUCGAAGCAACGCGAAGAACCUUACCAGGUCUUGACAUCCCUGACAACCCGAGAGAUCGGGCGUUCCCCUUCGGGGACAGGUGACAGGUGGUGCAUGGUUGUCGUCAGCUCGUGUCGUGAGAUGUUGGGUUAAGUCCCGCAACGAGCGCAACCCUCGACCUUAGUUGCCAGCAUUCAGUUGGGCACUCUAAGGUGACUGCCGGCUAAAAGUCGGAGGAAGGUGGGGAUGACGUCAAAUCAUCAUGCCCCUUAUGACCUGGGCUACACACGUGCUACAAUGGGCGGUACAAAGGGUCGCGAACCCGCGAGGGGGAGCCAAUCCCAAAAAGCCGCUCUCAGUUCGGAUUGCAGGCUGCAACUCGCCUGCAUGAAGCCGGAAUCGCUAGUAAUCGCGGAUCAGCAUGCCGCGGUGAAUACGUUCCCGGGCCUU
rnacentral:rRNA from 1 species